CUCAGUUUGCUCUCGACAGCAAAUAUUUAGCAAGGUUCCGUCAGCAGCGGCAAAAAGCCAGCGAGCAGAGGAUGCUGCUUGGAGAGGGAUCAGCUGCUCCUGGUGAUUGCAGGCUGCUGCUGCAGACAUCUGUCCUCGCGCAAAUGAACCCUACCAAGGCUGUCUGAUGACCCAGAGAGAAAUUAGUCAAUUAAUACUCAGCAUCAUCACAAGGUAUGGGCACGAGCACCUUCUGCAGCACAAGCUGUAGCCAUGGAAAAGCAGCUGCCGGGUUUUACAAGCUGAAAUGGGAGCUGGUCUGCAACAAAGGAACUGUGUGUGGGUCCAGCACGCUGGCACAGGCGAG
ensembl:lncRNA